GUACACAACCUAAAUCGGGCAUUUGAUUUGAAAUCAGAUUGAUUGUUUUUGAUAACAAUGUGAGUU
rnacentral:tRNA from 1 species